UCAAGGAUUCAGGCGCCCUAGCCAGCACAUUCUUCAUAUAUUUGCAUGUCUAGUUCUCUUUAUCUGAGGCCUUGGGCAGAGGUCCGCUGCACACAGCUCUCCCAAGCCCUCCUUAUGGGAGAAGGCGGUGGAACUCUGGAAGACACUUCUCCCCAUUCUGGCUGAUACUCAGCACUUUCCCUUCCUAGCCCUCCUCCUUUACAACUCCCCUCAAGGCCAGGACUGCCCCAGAUGGUAAGCUGAUCCCCACAUCUGUACUGACAUACCGGCUCUCCCCCAGUGCACUGUGGCUUGGGGAAAUGGAGCAGGGGGCCCAGGCGUUUUCUCUUACUUUACAGAUGUGCUUAUAUCACCACAGCUGACUGACAGUACACAGCGAUAUGCUGAAUCUAUACCACAAUCAAUAAUUAACUUUAUGUUCUUGUAUUGUGUGCCUAAAAGACAUAAAACCUUACAAAAAGCAACUGCCAAAUGAAUGUUUCAUGUGGCUAUCCAAGAGCUGAUGAACCAAAAAUUUUUUCUUGGAAAACAACAGAUUUUAAAAAGUCACCCAUCAACCAGAGAGUGGACAAGGACUGCUUGAGAUCUACAUACAGACCAGAGCUGGGGAAGUGGCACAAGAGAAAAAGGUACCAAAUUAAUGUUUAAAAAGGAGCACAAUGAAUUUAUAGGGAAAGGAAAAUAAAGAUGAUACACCAGAUAAUACCAUGCAAUUUGGAGAAGAGGAGGACCCUGAGAAAGAACAAAGGUAUAAGAAAGAAGAAGAACAGGAUAGUUUGUGCUUUCUGGCCUUUUUACUAUUGAUUUGUUUCUACUGUUGGUUUCAACUAUUAAAAAAUAAAUGUAAUAGCUGGCACUCGAAUCACCAUGUUAGCCCAUGAAGAGAAGGGCCACUUUACAGAACUGG